GACGAACGCUGGCGGCGUGCCUAAUACAUGCAAGUUGAGCGCAGAGGGUUGGUGCUUGUUCCACCUACAUUAGCAGCGGACGGGUGAGUAACACGUGGGUAAUCUACCUUUGAGCGUGGGACAACAUUGGGAAACCAAUGCUAAUACCGCAUAAAAACUUUAAACACAAGUUUUAAGAUUGAAAGAUGCUAUUGCAUCACCCAAUAAUGAUACCGCGUCGUCUUAGCUAGGUGGUGAGGGAAACGCUCAACAAGGCGAUGAUACAGAGCCGACCUGAGAGGGUGGUCGGCCACAUUGGGAACGAGACACGGCCCAAGACUCCACGGGAGGCAGCAGUAGGGAAUUUUUGGCAAUGGACGAAAGUCUGACCGGGCAACGCCGCGGGAGUUAAGAAGGGUCUCGGAUUGGAAAAAUCUGUUGGUAGAGAAGAACGUUGGGUAGAGGGGAAAGCUCAUCAAGUGACGGUAACUACCCAGAAAGCGACGGCUAACUACGUG
rnacentral:rRNA from 1 species